AUUGAACGCUGGCGGCAGGCUUAACACAUGCAAGUCGAGCGGUAGCACAGGGGAGCUUGCUCCCUGGGUGACGAGCGGCGGACGGGUGAGUAAUGUCUGGGAAACUGCCUGAUGGAGGGGGAUAACUACUGGAAACGGUAGCUAAUACCGCAUAACGUCGCAAGACCAAAGAGGGGGACCUUCGGGCCUCUUGCCAUCAGAUGUGCCCAGAUGGGAUUAGCUAGUAGGUGGGGUAAUGGCUCACCUAGGCGACGAUCCCUAGCUGGUCUGAGAGGAUGACCAGCCCAACGGGAAAUGAGCACCGGCCCAGACCCCUACGGGGGGGAGGAGUGGGGAAUAUUGCCAAAGGGGGGCAAGCAUGAUGCAGCCAUGCCGCGUGUGUGAAGAAGGCCUUCGGGUUGUAAAGCACUUUCAGCGAGGAGGAAGGGGGUGAGCUUAAUACGCUAAUAAAUUGACGUUACUCGCAGAAGGAGCCCCGGCUAACCCCGU
rnacentral:rRNA from 1 species